GGCUCCGUAGCUCAGCCGGAUAGAGCAACUGCCUUCGAAGCAGUGGGUCGCAGGUUCGAAUCCUGCCGGGGUCGCCA
rnacentral:tRNA from 1 species